GACGAACGCUGGCGGCGUGCCUAAUACAUGCAAGUAGAACGCUGAAGGAGGAGCUUGCUUCUCCGGAUGAGUUGCGAACGGGUGAGUAACGCGUAGGUAACCUGCCUGGUAGCGGGGGAUAACUAUUGGAAACGAUAGCUAAUACCGCAUAAGAGUAGAUGUUGCAUGACAUUUGCUUAAAAGGUGCAAUUGCAUCACUACCAGAUGGACCUGCGUUGUAUUAGCUAGUUGGUGGGGUAACGGCUCACCAAGGCGACGAUACAUAGCCGACCUGAGAGGGUGAUCGGCCACACUGGGACUGAGACACGGCCCAGACUCCUACGGGAGGCAGCAGUAGGGAAUCUUCGGCAAUGGACGGAAGUCUGACCGAGCAACGCCGCGUGAGUGAAGAAGGUUUCCGGAUCGUAAAGCUCUGUUGUAAGAGAAGAACGAGUGUGAGAGGGAAAGUUCA
rnacentral:rRNA from 1 species